rnacentral:misc_RNA from 1 species
AUAGCAACAAUACUAUCCGGACUCGCCAUGUUGGAUUAGGGAUCUUCUACGCUCAAAAAUUGUCCAAGAAUGGACGAGCGCUGGGCCCAAGAUGUGUUACGGUGUCAUCUCUGUGAGACCCCGGGCCCCCCUAUGUACUGUGACAUUUGUCACAUGUAUCUGUGUAAAGCCUGCGUGGGGGAACAUCUUUCAGAUCAAUCCAAAGAACACAAAGUGCUGCCACUUGAAAAGAGGGGAUCUUCUUCUAAAUGUCCUAAACAUUCCACUAAGAUAUGUGAACUUUACUGUAAACACUGUGACAUUCCAAUUUGCGCAACUUGUGCUUCCUCUGAUGAACACCAUGGUCAUAAAUUUAUUGAGUUAAUGAAAAACAUUGACAGAAACAAAGAAGUCAUUAAAAGAGAUUUACAAGAACUAGAGAAUUGCAUUUAUCCUGAACUCCUGGAUAUUGCAGCAAACAUACCAGUUCAGAGAGCUAAUUUGAUUGAUAACUCCAAGAAAUUGACUACAGCUAUGGAUAAACAUGGCGAAGAUUUGCACAGAGAAAUAGAGACCAUGAUCGAGAAACUAAAAUCUGAUCUUGAAAAAAUAGAUUUGAAACACCUGGCUGUCAUACAAUUAGAGGAAGAUGAAAUAACUCGCACCAUUUCUGAAAUCACACAGAAUAUUACUGAUAUGAAGAAGUUACUAAACUCUAAUGAUGUCAGCCGUGUCUCUGCCUACAAAUCCAGAAAUGAUGAAUUCAGAAAAUUGCCUCCAAAACUCGAGAUUUCCUUACCAAGUUUUACACCUCAGAAAAUCAACAAAGAACGGCUUUAUCAACAGUUUGGUUGUCUGUCAGCGUCAUCUAUCGAAACAAAAGAACAUGGCGACACAAUGGAUUCUCCCGGUGCUGAGUCCUCUCCCCCAGACAAACCACUAAUCGCUGAACCAUGGAUCAUCACAGAAAUAAUUUCCGAGUAUGGACCAAAUAAAAUUUGCGAUGUGUCCUGCCUUAGUAAUGAGGAGAUAUGGACACGCGGUGAUGGUGACAUGUUGAGACUCUACAACCUGCAAGGGGAACUAGUGAAGUCACUUCAGACCAAGUCAGGAAAUUAUCCAAAUGACUUAACAGUGACAAGGAGUGGGGAUCUAGUUUAUACUGAUUAUGAUGAUAGAACCGUAAACAUAGUGAAGAAUACACAGAUACAGACCGUUAUAAAUCUACAGGGGUGGAUAUGGGGUUUGACAUGGGGAUGGAGACCUCUCAGUGUCUGCAGUACCUCAUCCGGUGACCUCCUGGUUGUAAUGAACGGUGAAUAUGAUCAAAAAACGAAAGUUAUACGUUACUCUGGCUCUACAGAGAAGCAGAUUAUUGAGUUCGAUGACAAAGGAAAAUCUCUUUAUUCACCUGGUGGUACCACUAAAAAUAUUAGUGAAAACAAGAAUCUAGAUAUAUGUGUGUCAGACAGUGGAGCCCGUGCAGUAGUUGUGGUCAAUCAGCUACAUUGACAACUGUCAUUUACAGGCUCCAAGGGGUUUAUGUGUGGACACCAGAGACAACCUCAUUGUUGCUGAGGUUGGAACAGGUAAGGUGAAGAAAAUACAAUAUUGCGUUAAAACAAAAUGUGUAUGUAGAUGAGGAAGUGAACGCUGUAAACCAGUAUGUGUGACAUUGAACCAACUAGAUGUGUUUGUAAUGAAGAUACUAGUAUUGCAAUUAAAUUACUUUUGUUUUUAUGUUGAUAAACAAAAAAAAAAAGAUAUGUGAAAUAAACUGUUUGUAUUUUUUUUCGCAAACAAAUACAUUGUUUAUUUAUUAUGAUUAUUGUUUAAUUAAAACAAGACUUUUUAAUAUCAUUUUUGACAAAGAGACAUUGUUCAAAUAGUUUUGUUGUCAAAUAAAGUGGGUUUAAAUAAUUAUUAUUUUUUCAACAUAUAAACAGUGUUAAGGUGGUAUGGGACACCUCCAUGUUGUGGCGUAUUGUUUAUCGAAAUAAACAAAUGAAGUCUAAUU